CUAAACAAGUAGGUGGAUUAAACGCUAGUCUCUUUCAAAGAGGCAACACUAUCAAAUUGCGGGAAGAUCCUGUCAGGUCCACAUCACCGCGGCUCACCGAAAGGUGCAGUGCAGCACCAGGCUAACAACCUUGGGGAUGGUAAUAGUAUGUGGAAUAGGGAGAAUNUGCAGCCAAGCCCCUCUCUUGGGGUGCAGUUCACAGGCCAAAUGGUAGUGGGCACUCUGGUGCUUAAGAUAUGGUCGAGUCCCAAUUGAAAAAUUGGGUACAAGUACUCUGAUUGAUUACAUACAGUCUAUGCUCAGUCAAAUACAGCUAGUUGUAAAUGCAAAUGUUCCGUAGGUGAACCUGC
rnacentral:rRNA from 1 species